rnacentral:rRNA from 1 species
UACGAAGGGGGCUAGCGUUGCUCGGAAUCACUGGGCGUAAAGGGUGCGUAGGCGGGUCUUUAAGUCGAGGGGUGAAAUCCUGGAGCUCAACUCCAGAACUGCCUUUGAUACUGAAAGAUCUUGAGUUCGGGAGAGGUGAGUGGAACUGCGAGUGUAGAGGUGAAAUUCGUAGAUAUUCGCAAGAACACCAGUGGCGAAGGCGGCAUCCUGGACCAAUUCUGACGCUGAGUGAGCGAAAGCCAGGGGAGCAAACGGG